AUAUUCGUUUCGUCAUUCAACAGAACGCACGCUGGUACACUCAACAUGGCCGCGCAGUCGGUCGCUCAGAGGAAUCAUAUCCUGAUUCGACUACUUAUGUCUUAAAUACUGUGUCAACAGCUGCUGCUCAGCCUGCUCUCACUAAAUAUUCUCUCUUUUCUGUGUCCUUGAACAAUGGCAUUUAAUGGCAUACCCGUCGAUACUUUAAAAAUAAAUAGAUGAACUUAAGCGCUUUCUCUCCAUAUCGUUAAGUAUCUCAAAUGCGCACACCGUGGACUUUUACACGCGUGAUGUUUGGAGCAGUUUGUGUGUGUGAGUCCUGAUGAAGUGCUGUGUGCUGUCAGUUCCACACAAGACCGCAUGAGGGCGAUAGAAGAGAAGAAAAACACUACUUUUGGCUUCUGCAAUGCCUCAAAGAAGUUGGUGGACAUAUCAGCCCUGCUGAGGGCAGUGAAAGCCCACUGUUUACCAGCUCCGGGGGUCUGUAUGCAGCUGGAAGAUCUGAUGCAGAAUCUGAGACUGAUGACUGGAGACACUACAGCAGGAGAGUCAUCAGACAAAGUAGUAGCACCGGAUGAGUUUAUGAACUGUAAGAAGGCCCAUGAGGUGCAGGCAAUGUCUGAGGUUGUGGCUAGUUUGGAUGAAGGCCUUUUCCUAUUGGUCACUCUCGAUUGAAGUCACAGGUUGACCACGCCCACUCAGUUUCCCCAGAAUCCACGCCACUGGCGCCGCAGUCUGACAGAAGAGCGAGCGAGGUUGUAUCAUGACGAGCAACAGGUCGUGUAAUGGGAAAAAGAUUUGGUGUUGAUGGAGGAGGUAACAUCUUCAAGACAAAACUUAGACCUGAUGCAACAUCAUCCAAUGUCACAAUCACCCUUCAGGAGGUACACAAGCAGAAGCUAAAUUGAACAUUGUCAAUUAUCAAUUCCUAUUUUACAAAAUUUGUCCUGCAUACAUUUUUAUCUUUAAUGUGUAUGCACUUGAAGACCAGUGCCCAAUAUGCACAGGAACAUUUCCAGUGUCAGAAGUAGACCUGCCAUGCCAGCUUUUGUGGAGACAGAUAAUGGUAAUAGUGACUCACAGACUUUGCAGAUGUUUUGAACGUGCUGAAAAAUCGGAAACAUUUUACAGGAACAGCUCACCAAAAACCCAGACUGUUCCUGGAGAACGGGGAGGUCUGGUAAUCCUACUUUAAAGGCUGUUAUUAUACAACUGAAUGAAAAUACCAGAAACAUCACUCUCACUGCUACAGUGUAUUUACAUUAUUCUGUCUCUGAGUUGUAGAAUAUAUUAUAGCAGUAGACAAAAAAAGUAAAAAGAUUGUGCUGUGAAAUGAGCUCUACAUGAAUGAAAUUAGAUUUGUAGCAUUCUCUAGAACAGUGGUUUUCAAGCCUGUGCUGGAGGCACCCCUGCCCUGCACAUUUUGCAUGUCUCUCUCAUCUAACACACCUGAUUCAAUUCAUCAGCUCAUUAGUAGAGACUGCGAGACCUGAUUUGGGUGUGUCUUAUAAGGGAGACAUACAAAAUGUGCAGGGCACGGGUGCCUCCAGGACAGGUUUGAACCACUGCUCUAGAGAAAGUUCAGCAGGGAAAAGGUUCCCUCAUGUGGAGACACAAGGACAACAGGCCUAUUUGAUUUUCAUGCAAAUCGCUUCUGAAGAUUUUUUCAUAAAUUGUUUUUUAAACUUUUCAAAAGUUUCUUAAAUAACAGAUAUACAGAGUGACCGUGCUGAACACAGCUGUAUGUGUG